GAGACACAUCUCCAUCGUUUCUCUCUUGCUUGUCUAUCUACCUUGUCCUCUAAUUGAUUUGGUUUUGUUUUCAGGGAGAUUUAAUUUGCUGAAAGAUCAAGACCAUGACCACGACCAGUUACGCCCCUGAUGACGUUGAUGGUGAGUUAUGUAUCAGAGAUUCAGAGCAAGCCCUAGCCCUAGAUUUCAAUAAUGUCAUCUAA
rnacentral:lncRNA from 1 species